UGGGAACGCUGGACUGGGCCGCCGGUGACGCGGUCAGGUGGGCCCCCCAGCUCGCGCCCCGCGCCGCCUAGUUAGCUCUCCCGCUUCCGCUCCAUCUUGGCUCCGGUAGCUUGGCUUCUUGUUACUCUCCAGCUGCUGGGGCCGUAGCAGCCGGGACCAAGUGACCUCAGCAAACGCGAGGAGACAGUGGGUCUGAGCAAACCCGCGUUCCCGAGAAUUCGCCUGGGGCGUGAGGGCAGAUGCGGAUUGUCCGCUUCCUGCGACCCACCAACAUUAACUGAGCACCUAGUAUGUGAGACAGGAAGCUGUGAGGAGAGGAACACAUCAGGAUGAGACAAAGCCAGGGCCUGUUCUCAAGGAGCCUCUUCCUCCCCGUGCCGUCGUGGACCCUGCUCCGAGAUUCCCGGCCAUAGGUUGCUAGGAUGAUUAUGCAGAUCUAUCUGAUAAAGGGAAAAAAUUUCAGCAACUUCACCCAGCUUCUACUAUCUACACGGCUGCAUUUGAAAGGCCAAAGAGUUUCAAUAGAUCCCUGAUGGGGAACAGGAGAGAAAGCUGAGGUCCCCAGCAAGGUG